rnacentral:rRNA from 1 species
GACGAACGCUGGCGGCGUGCUUAACACAUGCAAGUCGAACGAUGAAGCUGGAGCUUGCUCCGGUGGAUUAGUGGCGAACGGGUGAGUAACACGUGAGCAAUCUGCCCUUCACUCUGGGAUAACUGCGGGAAACUGUAGCUAAUACCGGAUACGAGACCUUGGGGCAUCCCAGGGUCUGGAAAGAAUUUCGGUGAAGGAUGAGCUCGCGGCCUAUCAGCUAGUUGGUGAGGUAAUGGCUCACCAAGGCGACGACGGGUGGCCGGCCUGAGAGGGUGACCGGCCACAAUGGGACUGAGACACGGCCCGAACUCCUACGGGAGGCAGCAGUGGGGAAUAUUGGACAAGGGGCGAAAGCCUGAUGCAGCAACGCCGCGUGAGGGAUGAAGGCCUUCGGGUUGUAAACCUCUUUUAGUAGGGAAGAAGCGCAAGUGACGGUACCUACAGAAAAAGCACCGGCUAACUACGUGCCAGCCGCCGCAGUAA